CUUUAGUUUUUUGGGCUUCCCUUAUCCCUCUUAACUCACCCAUUGUCAAUUUUCUUGGUACAUCCAGAAGCAAGCCAGCGUCCAGUAGCUGAUUCACUGUGUUCAGUGUGACUGAUCCACCAAGCUUCCAUUUUCAAAACUAUUUUUGAAGAACUAUUUUUCAUUUUUUUCCCCUGCUUCCUGUUGCUACCAGUUGGAGACUGAGAGAAACAGAGACACGGAGACUGGGGCAUAAGGAAGAUAUUUCACAUGGAACCUGGGUAUUGUCUUGGAAGGUUUAUUCCACUCUUCAAAACUCCCGGAAAAACUGACACACAUCAGCCUGCUGAUCUCACAAGUAUAUUCUCUGUGGCAGGAACUUGAGGAAGCCAUCAUUUCCAUCUUAAGUAGAAACUGAAGCUUUUUUUUUUUUUUUUUCCUUUUAAUUACUGGUUGUUUCAGACCUUAGAAAAACAGGAAGUGAAAGGAAUCAAGAACUCUUUCCAAACAGAAUUCCUUUCAAUGCUCCAGGACUAUGUUUAAGUGACGAAACCUAGGGAUGAAGGUAUCUAUCCCAAAUCACAACUGUGCCUCUGAGAUUGAAGCAGACCGUUGGCAGCCCCGGGAGAUCCACGCUGCCAUCAUGAUAUUACCUUAUUAGAGACUUCAACCUAAGAAAUUUAUAAACAUAAAAUGCUUUUUAAAAUACUUGCUCUUUUAUUUGCCACUUGCAGAAACCACAGUAAGCACUUCAUAAGGGUGAAGAAAGUGCAUACUGUUCUUCACUCGUGGGGAUGCUCUGAUAACCCCUAGAAAGUGUGGAGUAAGCUGAGAAGGGAACGAGGACUGGAAUCCCGCCAGCCCCUGGCACUGCUUCUUGAUGGCUGUACCAGAUGUCUGAAUCAAGCUCAGCAGAAGGGCCAGGUGUUCUUUUAAAUUUGAAAUUACAAGCAGAAACAUAAUACUGUUUUUCGUCUUCUUUGAAAAGGGAAGGGAAUUAAGAAGGAAGGCAUUUAGAGGAUAAAAAAGUGGUGGCCAUUGACCUGACUCGGAUUGAGACUUCUCAGCCAGAUCUCUGCUAGAAAACCAUUUCCUUUUCCUACUCUGAAUUAGUGGUGGCCCCAUGGUCUCAGACCUCUGCCCUCUCUUCCUGACCACAGAGAAGUUCUCGGCCGAUCAAAGAGGACAAACGCUCCGAGGAGACUGCUCUGCCUCCCUGAGUGGAGGACAUGCAUGCCUCUCCAGGGAACUGUUUCCUCUAGACUUUCUCUAGCAGCGUGACAGCAUCUUAAAAAAUGUCUGGACUUAAAAAGGCAAAAAGUCAAUCUUCAGGCUUGUGUUAAGGAAGAAAGAAGACAGGCUGGUCAAAAUUAUAUCCACUAGACAUGCAGUCAGUGAGCCGGCGUACUUUUCCAUAAGCCAACAAAUAUAAAAAACAAGAUGUGAUGGUGUCCAUUGGUUGGAUUAGAAACAAGGAAACUGCAAAAGGAUUUACCAAAGGUGGCUUUGAAUGGGUCUACUCUCCUUCUAGUAGACUGUUCUGUCUGUUAAAGAAAUUAUUCAGAGGAUCAGGCCUGGCUUCUCCUCAGCUUCCUGAUGUACUCAUUCAACUCUACAUUUAGAAUUCCUUGGACACAGUUUCACCUGUUUAUGGUUUCAUCUCCCAGAUUCUAGACAGCUGUGACAUCUUGGAGAUGCACAAUGGCCAGGUUAGUUAUGAUGUGAAAUGGCAUCGUGCCAGC